UCAGACAAUUAUUAAAUUCACUUUGACACUGUACGAACCUCCAGAUCUGUACAGCUAGCUUUGGAUGGGAUGUGCAUGUCACUAGACUUGGGGAUAAGGGAAUUAAAGUCUAAUCAGGCUGCACAGCAAUCCGAUGAUUAAUUCAGCGUAAUAACUAGCAGGUGCAGAGCCUGUCGUGUGCAGGGAGUCCUUCUACACCAUGUCCAGCCACCACUAAACUACAUCCAAUGACACCGCCAGGAUCUUAGCCUGUGUGAGAGGGAAUCCUCAACUGAAUCAAGACCACUGAGCACUAUGACAGACCAUGGGUAGGAGCCAGGUGCUGGAACACUCUCCCCUCACAGGCACACAUCUGUUUCAGACGGGGCUGGGGAAAAAGAACACAUUACAGGAACAACUCUCACACUGACAGGAAGAAGGGGCAGCUGUUGUGAGAGAUAAAAAUCGUUCAUCUGCUGAGGGUGUACCUGGCUAGAAGCAGCAGCAGGGAUCCUGUGUCAUCAAGAGUCCCACCCACCCUGCAUAUGGACUGUCACCUACCUCCCCACGGGCAGAGAGCAGUAAGGCAUAAAAACCAGAACAUAGAAACCAGUUUCCAUUUAAGGUUUGGUAGACUCAAGAAUUUACUUUAGUCACUAAAUGUACGUCUUCUUUCCUUGCUGCCUAUUUGGUUUAAAGACUGCAUGACAUUUAUCUUUUGUAUUUACAGAAUUACUUAAGAUUUACAACCAUUCAAUUUAUAGUUUGGGUUAUUUCAUAUUUUGUUUCUUUAUGUCUGCAGCCACUUUAGUUGGUAAAACUGAAUUACAAAUGUAGUUCUCUCCAAGGCAGAUACUAUUUUACUAUUGAUACCAGCCAUUAGAUAGGUGCUAUUUCUUAAUUAUUUGUUAUGGUUUCUGUUUCUAUAUUAACAUUUCAAUUUUGUAAAAAA